rnacentral:lncRNA from 1 species
CUUUAUUCCUCCACGUCGUGGGACCGCACUUUUGACAUUUAACAGGCUGGGAGUUAUAUUUCUCCUAUAUCAAAGGAAUUUCCAUGUCCUGGGAGAGGUACAUUCUUCAGUUCCCAGUGAAAUACUGAUUUCAUUCAUUUUGGCUGAGGUUGUUCUUGCAAGCUUUAAAAAUUCCCAAUCUGCUCUCCUUAGUCCUGCAUCUACUUGGGACUCCUCUGAGCUGGACAUUUCCAAGGGGGCCAUCUGGUAUCACUGUAAUCAGCGUUACAAUUGUAAGUAGUUAUGGUAUGACUAAUGAC